rnacentral:rRNA from 1 species
CACGUAGGGCGCAAGCGUUGUCCGGAAUUAUUGGGCGUAAAGAGCUCGUAGGCGGUCUGUUGCGUCCGCUGUGAAAACCCAGGGCUUAACCCUGGGCUGGCAGUGGAUACGGACAGACUAGAGGUAGGUAGGGGAGAAUGGAAUUCCCGGUGUAGCGGUGAAAUGCGCAGAUAUCGGGAGGAACACCGGUGGCGAAGGCGGUUCUCUGGGCUUUACCUGACGCUGAGGAGCGAAAGCGUGGGGAGCGAACAGG